AUUGAACGCUGGCGGCAUGCCUUACACAUGCAAGUCGAACGGUAGAGUAGCAAUACUUGAGAGUGGCGAACGGGUGAGUAAUAUAUCGGAACGUGCCCAGUCGUGGGGGAUAACGUAGAGAAAUUUACGCUAAUACCGCAUACGAUCUAAGGAUGAAAGCGGGGGAUUCGCAAGAACCUCGCGCGAUUGGAGCGGCUGAUAUCAGAUUAGGUUGUUGGUGAGGUAAAAGCUCACCAAGCCGACGAUCUGUAGCUGGUUUGAGAGAACGACCAGCCACACUGGGACUGAGACACGGCCCAGACUCCUACGGGAGGCAGCAGUGGGGAAUUUUUGGACAAUGGGCGAAAGACCUGAUCCAGCAAUGCCGCGUGCAGGAAGAAGGCCUCGG
rnacentral:rRNA from 1 species